GCAUGGCAAGCGUUGAUCGCAUUCUAACGUGUCCGGUGUUUUAUGAGUGGGUUUUCCCCUCAUGAUCCGUUGGCUCGUUGGUCGUGAUUGAUCUUCCAAUGGGAUGACGCAUGAGUGGUGAUUAGGAUGUGCUUUCAUGCAGGCUCCGCGUAUUUUACGUCGAACUGCGUUGUGCUGUCCAUUUCAGUAAUCCAUUGCUUUGGCUUGUCUUUGCUUGUUGCAAAAUGAUCGGGUGGUUUCUGUGUUAUCUAUCGAUUUUUGUAUGCGUGAUGGAUUGAAUCCAUUGUGUUUUGUUCUCUUCGCUGCUGGCUUGUCCAGUGAAGGUGGAUGUUGCGUUGGUCUCCUGUGUUUCAUGCAAGUUUGUCCCUCUGUGGGUGUGGAUUUGUAAUGGCUCAUGGGUGGCUGUCUUUGCUCUUGGGUAUGCGAAAUAUUUGGUUGUUGUUUGGGUCUUUGACCUAUGCAUAUCGCAUGUUGAGCAUGUAGCUUUAUUUUGUCUGACCCUCGUGCUUGUUCCUAUGCUCAUCGAGUCUUAGUGCUCGUUGUUUGUCGCGGGGAUGUUCGAGGUCUAUGAGGAAUGC
rnacentral:misc_RNA from 1 species